rnacentral:rRNA from 1 species
AUUGACGGAAGGGCACCACCAGGCGUGGAGCCUGCGGCUUAAUUUGACUCAACACGGGGAAACUCACCAGGUCCAGACACAAUAAGGAUUGACAGAUUGAGAGCUCUUUCUUGAUUUUGUGGGUGGUGGUGCAUGGCCGUUCUUAGUUGGUGGAGUGAUUUGUCUGCUUAAUUGCGAUAACGAACGAGACCUUAACCUGCUAAAUAGCCCGGCUAGCUUUGGCUGGUCGCUGGCUUCUUAGAGGGACUAUCGGCUCAAGCCGAUGGAAGUUUGAGGCAAUAACAGG